rnacentral:rRNA from 1 species
CAGGCUUAACACAUGCAAGUCGAGGGGCAGCAUGAUUUAACUUUCGGGUUAGAUUGAUGGCGACCGGCGCAAGGGUGCGUAACGCGUGAGCAACUUGCCCUUAUCAGGGGGAUAACCGUUGGAAACGACGACUAAUACCCCAUAGCAUCACUUUGAGGCAUCUUUUAGUGAUUAAAGAACUUCGGAUAAGGAUAGGCUCGCGUGACAUUAGCUAGUUGGCGGGGUAACGGCCCACCAUGGCGACGAUGUCUAGGGGUUCUGAGAGGAAGGUCCCCCACACUGGAACUGAGACACGGUCCAGACUCCUACGGGAGGCAGCAGUGAGGAAUAUUGGUCAAUGGUCGAGAGACUGAACCAGCCAUGCCGCGUGAAGGUCACGGCCCUAUGGGUCUUAAACUUCUUUUGUAAGGGAGCAAUAAGUCUCACGUGUGGGAUGAUGAGAGUACCUUACGAAUAAGCAUCGGCUAACUCCGUG